rnacentral:tRNA from 1 species
UGGUGUAGCUCAGUUGGUAGAGCAGUUGAUUUGUAAUCAACAGGUCAGGGGUUCAAGUCCGUUCACC